UACGUAGGGUGCGAGCGUUGUCCGGAAUUAUUGGGCGUAAAGGGUGCGUAGGCGGUUUGAUAAGUCAUCUGUGAAAUCUCUGGGCUCAACCCGGAGUCUGCAGGCGAAACUGUCGGGCUUGAGUAUGGGAGAGGUGAGUGGAAUUUCCGGUGUAGCGGUGAAAUGCGUAGAUAUCGGAAGGAACACCUGUGGCGAAAGCGGCUCACUGGACCAUUACUGACGCUGAUGCACGAAAGCUAGGGGAGCAAACAGG
rnacentral:rRNA from 1 species